UACAGAGGGUGCGAGCGUUGUCCGGAAUCACUGGGCGUAAAGGGCGCGUAGGUGGCGAGAUAAGCGUGUGGUGAAAGCCCGGGGCUCAACCCCGUGUCUGCCAUGCGGACUGUCUUGCUCGAGCGUAGUAGAGGCAAGUGGAAUUCCGGGUGUAGCGGUGGAAUGCGUAGAGAUCCGGAAGAACACCGGUGGCGAAGGCGGCCUGCUGGGCUACUGCUGACACUGAUGCGCGACAGCGUGGGGAGCAAACAGG
rnacentral:rRNA from 1 species